AGGACGAACGCUGGCGGCGUGCUUAACACAUGCAAGUCGAGCGGUAAGGCCCUUCGGGGUACACGAGCGGCGAACGGGUGAGUAACACGUGGGUAACCUGCCCUGUACUGUGGGAUAAGCCUGGGAAACUGGGUCUAAUACCGCAUAUAACCCUGCCAUGCAUGUGGUGGGGUGGAAAGUUCUGGCGGUACAGGAUGGGCCCGCGGCCUAUCAGCUUGUUGGUGGGGUGAUGGCCUACCAAGGCGACGACGGGUA
rnacentral:rRNA from 1 species